GUCAGGAUGGCCGAGCGGUCUAAGGCGCCAGACUCAAGGUUAAUCCCCUUUUCAGUCCAAGACUGAAUCAAUGUGCAUUCUGGUCUCCAUCUGGAGGCGUGGGUUCGAAUCCCACUCCUGACA
rnacentral:tRNA from 1 species